rnacentral:rRNA from 1 species
UACGUAGGGGGCAAGCGUUGUCCGGAAUCAUUGGGCGUAAAGCGCGUGUAGGCGGCCCGGUAAGUCCGCUGUGAAAGUCGGGGGCUCAACCCUCGAAUGCCGGUGGAUACUGUCGGGCUAGAGUGCGGGAGAGGCGAGUGGAAUUCCUGGGUGUAGCGGUGAAAUGCGCAGAGUAUCAGGAGGAACACCUAGUGGCGAAGGCAGCUCGCUGGGACGGUAUUGACGCUGGAGACGCGAAAGCGUGGGGAGC